rnacentral:sRNA from 1 species
GUGUGUGGUCCGGCGUUGGAGGGUUAUCGGUAUUCCUUCGGGAAAUUUCCCUUCAGCACAAACUCGACCAUCCA